rnacentral:ncRNA from 1 species
CUUCACUUCUUCAAAAGCUCAUUGUUGCACCUUGAUCUAGAUGAUGAAGCCUGUAAUAGAAAGAAAAAGCAAUUCCCGUAGUAGCAGAGAGCGAAAUGGGAGAAGCCUAAACCGUGAAAAUGGGGUUGUGGGAGAGAACAAUAUAAGCUCUGUGCUGUUAGGCGAAGCGGUUGAGUCCUGCACUCUAGAUGGUGAGAGUCCAGUAGCCAAAAGAAUCAUUGGGUUACGCUGUAACCCGAGUAGCAUGGGGCACGUGAAAUCCUUUGUGAAUCAGCAAGGAUCACCUUGCAAGUCUAAAUACUUCUGGGUGAUCGAUAGUGAAGUAGUACCGUGAGGGAAAGGUGAAAUGAACCCCCAUCGAGGAGUGAAAUAGAAUAUGAAACCGUAAGCUCCCAAGCAGUGGGAGGAAAAUGAUAUCUCUGACCGCGUGCCUAUUGAAGAAUGAGUCGGCGACUUAUAGGCAGUGGAUUGGUUAAGGGAACCCACCAAAGCCGUAGAGAGAGAGAGAGAGUCUUCAUGGGGAAAUUGUCACUUCUUAUGGACCCGAACCUGGGUGAUCUAUGGAUGAAGAUUGGGUGAAACUAAGUGGAGGUCCGAACCGACUGAUGUUGAAAAAUUAAUGGAUGAGUCGUAGUUAGGGGUGAAAUGCCACUCGAACCCAGAGCUAGUUGGUUCUCCCCGAAAUGCAUUAAGGUGCAACAGUUGACUGAACCAUCUAGGGGUAAAACACUGUUUCGGUAUGGGCCGCGAGAGCGGUACCAAAUCGAGGCAAACUAUGAAUACUAGAUUGCCCCAAUAAAAGGGGUAAAUUUCAGCCAGUGAGACGAUGGGGGAUAAGCUUCAUCGUCGAGAGGUAAACAACCCAGAUCAUCAGCUAAUGCUCCUAAAUGACCGCUCAGUGAUGAAGGAAGUACGAGUGCAAAGACAACCAGGAGGUUUGCCUAGAAGCAACCAACCUUGAAAGAGUGUGUAAUAGCUCACUGAUCGAGUUAGGUUGUACUACCCCUUGUUGGUCCUGAGGGACGAAGGAGGCUAGGUUAGUUGAAAGAUGGUUAUCGGUUCAAGGACACAAGGUGACCCUCUAUACAUUGAUUCAAAGGUAAAAGAAUAAUCAAAUAUAGGUGUGUACAAGGUGAGGUUGGGGGUGGAUAUUCCUCAUCAUCUACUCUAGCAAACAAAAAUCCAAGAU